rnacentral:rRNA from 1 species
CCUACGGGCGGCUGCAGUCGGGAAUAUUGCUCAAUGGGCGCAAGCCUGAAGCAGCAACGCCGCGUGAAGGAUGACUGUCUUCGGGUUGUAAACUCCUUUUGAUAGAGAAGUUAAUGACGGCAUCUAACGAUUAAGCAUGUACUAACUCCGUGCCAGAAGCCGCGGUAAUACGGAGGGGCCAAGCUUUUCCCGGAAUGACUGGGGUUAAAGGGCGCGUAGGGGGGUUAUCAAGUCAGAUGUGAAUUCUUAUGGCUUAACCAUAAAAUUGCGUUUGACACUGGUAGUCUAGAGUAUAGGAGAGGUAGGUGGAAUUCUUGGUGUAGGGGUAAAAUCCUUAGAGAUCAAGAGGAAUACUGAUUGCGAAGGCGACCUACUAGAACACCACUGACACUGAUGCUCGAAAGCGUUGGGAGCAAACAGGAUUAGAUACCCGUGUAGUC